GACGAACGCUGGCGGCGUGCCUAAUACAUGCAAGUAGAACGCUGAAGAGAGGAGCUUGCUCUUCUUGGAUGAGUUGCGAACGGGUGAGUAACGCGUAGGUAACCUGCCUGGUAGCGGGGGAUAACUAUUGGAAACGAUAGCUAAUACCGCAUAAAAUUGAUUAUUGCAUGAUAAUUAAUUGAAAGAUGCAACUGCAUCACUACCAGAUGGACCUGCGUUGUAUUAGCUAGUUGGUGAGGUAACGGCUCACCAAGGCGACGAUACAUAGCCGACCUGAGAGGGUGAUCGGCCACACUGGGACUGAGACACGGCCCAGACUCCUACGGGAGGCAGCAGUAGGGAAUCUUCGGCAAUGGGGGGAACCCUGACCGAGCAACGCCGCGUGAGUGAAGAAGGUUUUCGGAUCGUAAAGCUCUGUUGUAAGAGAAGAACGGGUGUGAGAGUGGAAAGUUCACACUGUGACGGUAUCUUACCAGAAAAGGACGGCUAACUACGU
rnacentral:rRNA from 1 species